UAAUUUCAAUAAAUUCAGUAAACUUAGUUCUCCUUGAGCUUUAAUGAAGAUUGUGUCCUGCGCCCUCCACAUGCAUCUGAGCACUAGGUUGGGUAGGGAGGCUGUUUAUUUAAAGAACUGUGAGUCCUGUGUACUUCAAAAAGAAUAAUCUGAUUUUUCUUUUCUUGAACACAGGGGAAAGAACCUGAGCAAGGUCACCUGCAAUCAGCUUUGUGAACUAAAAGCAGCUGUCCCAGGAGGAAGAAAUAUCUACAGAAUUGGUCAACUUCAGCGUUUUUGUUACGCAGGUAAGAAUGAAACAUGCUUUUAAUUUACCUUAAUUGAAUAGAUGUGGAAUUAAGUCCUAAAUCUUCCCAUUAUUCUGAGGAGCAGGAAUGACUGAAAGGGUGAAGCUUUGGACUUUUACCUCCUUAUAAAGCUUCUAUAAUCGUGUGUCCUACAUUUUCCAUUAAUGAAAACACUAUCCUCAAUUAUGUCAUUGAAAAGGAGCAAACUGGUAUAGUGCAUGAGUUAAGAAAACAUUAACUAAGAAGUUUGAUAUUUUGGGAUUUUUU